rnacentral:tRNA from 1 species
UUCCAUGGCCCAAUGGAUAAGGCGCUGGUCUACGAAACCAGAGAUUCUGGGUUCGAUCCCCAGUGUGGAAU